rnacentral:rRNA from 1 species
AUGGAGGUGGAGACGAGGAGUGGUGGCAGCAGCGCCAGCGAGGGCAGAUGGUCGCAGUCUGGAACGUCGCUCCCUGUCAGGAACGUCCAGGCUCUGGCGGGGUCGGCCGCCGAGCUGACGGCCGACACCAUCCAACGGUACAUCCAGCCGGGCGUCGACGGGGACACGGUUCUCGCCGAGCACUCCGAUGAGGUUCCGGUGAUCGACCUCGCCAAGCUCCUGGACGCCGAGUCCGUGGAAGCCGAGGCCGCCAAGCUCAGAUUUGCCUGUGAGGACUGGGGCUUCUUCCAGGUUGUAAAUCAUGGAAUACCAGUUGAGGUCAUCACGGGUAUGAAGCACGACAUUCAGAAGUUCUUUCAACUCCCCCUUGAAGUUAAGAAUACAUAUGCGCAACGAGUAGGAGACCUUCAAGGUUAUGGUCAAUCAUUUGUUCUCUCGGAUGAUCAAAAGCUAGACUGGUCAGACAUGUUUGGCCUUUUUUCACAGCCACCUCAGGCCCGUGACAUGAGUUUCUGGCCAAACCAGCCUCCUAAUUUCAGGAAUUCUAUCAAAGAGUACUCUUCCGAGUUGAUGAAAUUCACUCAUUCUCUUGCCACCUUUAUUGCCAAAACAAUAGAUGUUGAUCCCGAAUUAAUGGAAGACAAGCAUGUGGGCCAAUUUCUGAGAAUGAACUACUACCCUCCAUGCACAACCACUCCCGAAAAGGUUUUAGGCUUCUCACCGCAUUCUGAUGGAUCUUUUCUCACUAUCCUGCUAGAAGUGAAUGCAGUUCAAGGCCUACAAAUUAGAAGGCAUUGUGCAUGGAUCCCAGUAAAACCACGGGGUGAUGCAUUAUUGGUAAAUGUGGGUGACUUUCUUGAGAUUAUGACAAAUGGGAAGUAUAAGAGCAUUGAGCACAGGGUCACCAUAAAUGCCAAGAAGGAGCGACUAUCUAUAUCAGCAUUUCAAGUUCCAAAGUACGAUGGAAUAAUUUCACCAGUUUUGGGCAGUACCGAGGAGAAGGUGUUAUACAAGACAAUUAGAGUAGAAGAGUAUGCAAGAAUUUAUUUGUCAAGCAAACGAGAUGGAAAGAGAACCCUUGAUUAUGCUAAGUUAUCCCAAAUAUAA